UACGUAGGGGGCUAGCGUUGUCCGGAAUCAUUGGGCGUAAAGCGCGCGUAGGCGGCCCGGUAAGUCCGCUGUAAAAGUCAAAGGCUCAACCUUUGAAUGUCAGUGGAUACUGCCGGGCUAGAGUCCGGAAGAGGCGAGUGGAACUCCUGGUGUAGCGGUGAAAUGCGCAGAUAUCAGGAAGAACACCCGUGGCGAAGGCGGCUCUCUGGGACGGUACUGACGCUGAGACGCGAAAGCGUGGGGAGCGAACAGG
rnacentral:rRNA from 1 species